CACCAAAAUGCAUUACUAUAUUUUUAGUAUGUUCAAGAGAUUUCAUCUUACUUGAAAAUAAAA
rnacentral:tRNA from 1 species